CACUUUGUGAUUCAUGACUGGGGUGAAGUCGUAACAAGGUAACCGUAGGGGAACCUGCGGUUGGAUCACCUCCUUACCUGAAAGAAGC
rnacentral:rRNA from 2 species